ACCUGGAAAAGUUCAGUUGGUAGAACAUGAGACUCUUAAUUUCAGGAUUGUGGGUUCGAACCUCAAGCUGGGCA